ensembl:lncRNA
CCCACCCCACCCCAGCAAAAAUGAGGGAGAAGGAUCCCCCCUCACACAGGGCAACCCCAAUGUAAGCUACAGAAUCUCUCUUUUAUAAAAUGGGGACGAUGAUUUCCUACCUCCCAAGGGAGCAGGGAGGCCGCUGGGCAAGUCACGUUGGUCAGGGAGACCACUGUCCUGGCUGGUGGGAGGGAUCAGCUGGCGGGACUGGGUCACUUGAUUUUGCCCCAACGUUAUGCCUCUGUGGAAAAAAAAAAAAAUCAGACCAUGAAAUGGGCCUGAAAUUCAGUGUUUACCAUGGCUCAAGGUCACCCAACUGGGGCCUGGUCACCUUUUGCUUUCAAAUGAAAAUGCUGUGUACAACUGAGGAGUUAACAGUGAAGUGAUAACCAGGGGUCCAGGGAGCAAGUUGAAGAGAUGGUGUGAGUGUGUUUGCAGCCCCGCGGGGGGGGGGGGCGGUUCAGGGGAGAUGUCAGGGGCCAUGCCCUCUGAGCACUUAACAAGAGGAUAUUUGCUCCAGCCUGAGCCCUGUGGCCACCUCCCCGCUGCCCACAGGGGCAGAGCGCCCAGCAACCGACUGUGAACACCCUUGCCUCCCACCGAGGAAUCCCUCCCAACUGUUCCCUGUGUUCUCCGCGGUGGCAAGGUGAGCUGGAGUCGUCCCGGCCCAAGGCUCUCUGUCCCCGAGGGGAAGCUGUCACUGUCAGUCAUCCUAGUGCACCGAGGAAGGUAGUGUCCACAGUGGCGGCCCAUGUGCUGGUCUCUUCCGUGACGAUCAGGACCCAACCCUUCCAGGGACCUGGCCCUAGAGGGGGGGUCUUGACCCCAGGAGGCCCGGAGCCUGCCAAACGUGCUGCGGUGGUCAGGGCAGCCCACACCCUAAAAAGAACGCAGGCUCCAGACUGCUGGAGACCAGGGCCUUCCCCGGGCCAGUAGGAAAUGGGAUAUCACCCCAAAGUGACCUUCUCAGGAGGCCUGUCCAGCCGGUAGCGGCCGCCCCUGCCAUCUGCGCGGGGCUGGCCGGCGUGGGGGCUGGGCCCUCCUGCCCCAGGCAGCCCAUCCGCAUUCCCCACCCCUGCAUGGCUCUGGCUGAACGUGGGAGCUCUCUGUGGGCAGCAGGAGCUGUGCUGUCCAGGCCGGGUGCCGUGAGGACGAAGUGCUCAGAGGGCCCAAGAGCCCCAGAGACGAGAAAGUGUGUGGCUCGUAUGUUCAAAAGGGACAAUCGUCUGCAGUGAGUCGAUCUAGUGAUCCAGCUGGGAGAUAACAGUGUUUAACCCAUAUGAAGUAUUCGGUAGCUCUACUUGUGAAUUUGUAUUUAUUUUGAGUUAUACUUGACACAGAAUUCCUUUUUUUUUUUUAAGAAAAAUACUAUGUGUGUAUUUUGAAAAAAAAAUCAUAGAUGUUAAAAUUUCUUCUGGUUACCCAUUUUUCUCACAACACUGAAUUUGUUACCUUCUCCCGAAAAACAUCUUCACAGUGAUCUUUGUCUGUAUAUAUUUGAGGGCCUUUUUUUAAAAAAAGAAAAAGAAAAGAAAAAUAUAAUUGUUUGAUUUUUGAGGAAAAAAACAAAAGGAGAGGCAUUUUCAAAGUUCAGAGCGUUCAGGAGGGCAGUAGAAUAUCAAAUGAAGAUUUCUGGAAGUAUUUUUGCAAACCUUCUGGUUGAGCUGCAAGAAAAUAUUUAUGGUGAGAACUUUUCUCUUUUUUUCCUGUUGGGUUUUGUUUGUUUGUUGAUUUUUUACUAUGCUUUGAUCUGUAAAAAGUAUGCAACUGAACUACAUUAAGAAGGAAAUAUUGUCUACAUGGAAUAUUAUAUGAAGUUGGUACAUAAUUCUGAUGAGGAAAAAAAAUCUUUGCAAUUCUUUAAGCCAUAUUGUUGUUCUUCUCUGUUGUUUUCCUUGGAUGAAAAUAUCAGUAUUAAGUAGCCAAGCAUAUUAUUCAAAUGCUUAGACUUAUUAAUAUGUUCGUGUCCUGUAUUUAUACAUAUGUGUAUUUUGGAAAGUAUUGCUUUUUCUAAGGGAAGCUAUUAUUAGAUACGUAGCCAAAAAGGGAAUAGUGACCCCUUUGAGCCUCUUCAGCUGAGGGUAACAAACACAGCAUUGUAAUCCAUUCUCUUGCACCUUCUUAUUAUUAUCUUGUUAUUAUGGUUAUUAACUUUGUGGUGUGGGGGGACAGGGAGUGGGCCAGGGGAAGAAGGGGCCUCGCAGUGUUACACAGCCAGCCCCUCCUCGGUUGGCCAGCUCCAAAGAUGGCCUCCUUGGCCUGGCGGAGGGCUCCUGUCAGCGGGGCCCAGGAGGGAAGAGGAAACAGGAGCAGACUUCUCUACGCUCCUCUUUGGAGCUUUACCAUCUGAGCCACGCCUCUGGGCCCCGCGCUCUUUGAACUUGGAUGCGUCAACCAGAGCCUUUACACCUGGCCUCCAACAUCUAAUAGACUUGAAUGUACUCUAAAUGAAUACUGAAUCCAACAUCACUACAUUGUAGCCCAGUGCAACAACUAAUCCUGAAGUUUGGGAGGCAUUCCGGCCCGCAGGGAGGUGGCUGAGCCAUCCCCCAAGGGCUGGUGGCAGAAGGGCCCAUCGCCGUCUGUCGCCAGCCUCGCCGUCGGACCUCCUCCGCUCCCGUGUGGUGACCCUGUCCAUGUCUGUAUCUGUUAAUACGUGUGUGUCCAGCUAAAAAGACAAACAGAACCCGUGGGCCCAGCUCAGAGGGUGCAUGGAGAAGGCUCCCGACCUCUCCGAAGGGCCGCCCUCGGGAUGGCAUUCCGUUGUGUGCCUUAUUCCUGGAAAAUCUGUAUACAGCUUGCCUAUAGCAAUAUAGCCUUUUCAUGCUGUAUUAAAAGAACUUUUAAAAGCAAGAGAGGUUCCUGGGUUUCCUUAUUUACACAGAGCAUCCGUGGGGAGCUGGACGUCUUCACCGAUGCGUGAGGCCAAGUGGGGUGGGAAGAACUUCGAGCUGCCUUUCUCCUGUCCCGGGUCUGGGUCCUCUUGUCCUUGUCCUGCCUCCUCCCAUUGAUUUGCCUGCUCCCAGCCCCUCUGCCCCCAAGUGGACGCUCUCUCCAGAGUCAGGGCCCUCCCCAGCUUGGGCCUCAGGCUGGGCGAGAUUGUCAGCACAUUAGGUCACACGUUAGCUCAGCAAUGGGACUCCCGGGUGACCAUAUAUAGGAGUGAAUCUUCAUUGGAGGCAGCAGCCUGGGCCCCACCGCCGUGGCUGGCCCUCUUGCCAAGCCCAGGAUUGGGGCCUUAGACCCUGGACAUCAUACGAUGAGCAAUCAGAAGGGUCCAGGCCUCCUGGGAAGUCCCCAGGAGAGGGGACAGAGGAUCUCUCUCUUCUGAACAAGCCAGGUUGAGGCCGGGCUGUCAGAAGGUGGGGUUCUUGCUGAGAGCCGUGGACAGGAAGCCGUGGCUCUCAAGAAGCCACUGACACAUGGGGGCCCCUCGGCCUGGGGCCAGCGCUCUGGUCACUCUCAAACUUGCUAUUUGCUGAAAUCACGAUGGGAGCUGUGGUCCCACCCAGGAGAUGCUCGAGAACUUGGCCUGUGUCCUCAGGUUUUUAAAGCCCCAGAGAAGUCCAGUGUACAAGGUUGAGAAAUGCCAGGCUUUGAAAUGGUCCCUCACGGUCCUGUGGGGCCAGUGGUGAUGUCAGGGGGGAGGCCAGUGGGCAGAGGCUCUGGCCGCACUGGCGGGGCACUCCAUCCUCAGUUCCGGCCAAUUACUGCUAUCUAAGAAUAUACUGCUUGGC